GACGAACGCUGGCGGCGUGCCUAAUACAUGCAAGUAGAACGCAGUUGCGAACGGGUGAGUAACGCGUAGGUAACUGCCUGGUAGCGGGGGAUAACUAUUGGAAACGAUAGCUAAUACCGCAUACUACCAGAUGGACCUGCGUUGUAUUAGCUAGUUGGUGGGGUAACGGCUCAACAAGGCAACGAUACAUAGCCGACAUGAGAGGGUGAUCGGCCACACUGGGACUGAGACACGGCCCAGACGCCCACGGUAUGCAGCAGUAGGGAAUCGUCGGCAAUGGGGGGAACCCUGAUCUAGCAACGCCGCGUGAGUGAAGAAGGUUUUCGGAUCGUAAAGCUCUGUUGUUAAGGAAGUGGUACUUAAGCAGAAAGGGAGGGCUAACUACGUGGCAGCAGCCGCGGUAAUAC
rnacentral:rRNA from 1 species